CCUACGGGGGGCAGCAGUCGAGAAUCAUGCACAAUGGGGGAAACCCUGAUGGGGCGACGCCGCGUGGGGGAAUGAAGGUCUGCGGAUUGUAAACCCCAGUCAUGUGGGAGCAAAUUAAAAAGAUAGUACCACAAGAGGAAGAGACGGCUAACUGUGUGCCAGCAGCCGCGGUAAUACAGAGGUCUCAAGCGUUGUUCGGAAUCACUGGGCGUAAAGCGUGCGUAGGCUGUGUCGUAAGUCGUGUGUGAAAGGCGCGGGCUCAACCCGCGGACGGCACAUGAUACUGGGAGACUAGAGUAAAGGAGAGGGAACCGGAAUUCUCGGUGUAGCGGUGAAAUGCGUAGAUAUCGAGAGGAACACUCGUGGCGAAGGCGGGUUCCUGGACAUUAACUGACGCUGAGGCACGAAGGCCAGGGGAGCGAAAAGGAUUAGAUAUCCGAGUAGUC
rnacentral:rRNA from 1 species